GAACAGAUCCAGAAAAUUUUAGCUGAGGUUCAGAUCAUCUAAAUUCCUCAGCAUCGUGUACCAUCAAUGUCCACAAUGUCAGAUCAGAAAGAAAGCCUCAUCAAGUCUAGCCUACUGCCAAAAGCAACCAGAUUUGGGCUUGAGCACCUUGACACCUGGCAGGAAACACAAAACAGCCCUGAAACUUCAUUGAGCCACCACAGCAAUCUAUAGUCAACAACCUUGUCUGUCACCUGUUUUGUGCUGAAAGUAUAUUUACCUUCUCCGUGGUGGUAAAUGAGACGAGAAGAAACAAAGUCCCCACACACAACCAAUAAAAUGUCUU